rnacentral:sRNA from 1 species
AGGAAACCCAAAGUAAAUCCAUGC